AAGUGAUCGGGUCUCUAAGUGGGAUGCUGAAAUUUGCAUUUAGCGUUUCCAUAUCGAUAAGAUGGAUUACUAUGAGGAAGCUCAGAUAAAGAUUUAUUAACAAUGUUUGCAAACAACAAAAAAUUUUAACGAAAUCAAAAGUGUGUAAAUAUACGAAUAAAUAAAUUUGCGUUAAAUUCCGAAAAUCCAAAAACGUGUCAAACAACUAACAGACAGAAAUAUUCAAACAAAGCGAGUGAAGUCAUAGACGAAAAAAUAAAUAUAUUAAAUUGACAUAAGAGGAAUGCUUUGGGACCAGCAAAAUAAUUUAUUGUGCUGUGAAGCGUAUGUCAUAUAGGGUCAUAUACGUAAUCUGGAUCGGGACGUGUGCUCCGAAAGGGAUUAAAUGGGCGGGCGGGUGGCGGUGGCUGCCAGAAGCGUUGCAACCAGCCGGGUGCAUAGCUGCGAUACCAAUUGGUCAUCUUAACGUAUUUAACACACACACACAACACACACUGACGCACAAUACUUAACGGAAAUUGCGCUUUAGCUGACUCUUGUAUUGUAUUCUUC